rnacentral:rRNA from 1 species
UUAAAUUUAAUGGCCGCGGUAUUAAUGACCGUGCAAAGGUAGCAUAAUCAUUAGUCUUUUAAUUGAAGGCUCGUAUGAAUGGCUGGACAAAAGGAAAACUGUCUUCUUUAAUAAAGAUUGAAUUUAACUUUUAAGUGAAAAGGCUUAAAUACACCAAAGGGACGAUAAGACCCUAUAAAACAUUGGGUUGGGGCAACAAGAGUAAAAUUGAUAACUGCUUAAUGUUUAUAUACAAAUAUGUUUGGCAUGAUCCUUAUUUUAAAGAUUUAAAGACUAAGUUACUUUAGGGAUAACAGCGUUAUUUUUUUUGAGAGUUCAUAUCGAAAAAAAAGUUUGCGACCUCGAUGUUGAAUUAAAAUUUCUAUGUGGUGCAGUUGUUACAUAAGAGGGUCUGUUCGACCUUUAAUUUUUU